UCAUUGCUGGAACAAACGCCCUCACGGGUGCUACCCAGAAACCCUUUGUGAACUUAUCACUUGUUGCCUCGGCAUUGGUUGGCUUCGAAUGAAGUCCCUUCUACCCUGCGUGUAAGGAGCAGACCGGCCGACGGCCCCUAUAAACUCUUGUUUUUGUAGUAUCAUCUGAGUAAAACAACGAAAAUGAAUCAAAACUUUCAACAACGGAUCUCUUGGUUCUGGCAUCGAUGAAGAACGCAGCGAAAUGCGAUAAGUAAUGUGAAUUGCAGAAUUCAGUGAAUCAUCGAAUCUUUGAACGCACAUUGCGCCCGGUGGUAUUCCACCGGGCAUGCCUGUUCGAGCGUCAUUUCAACCCUCAAAAGUCUUGUAUUUUUGGUGUUGGAGGCAUACCUGUCACAGGGUACCCUCUCAAAUUUAGUGGCGGGCUUGCUAGAAUUUCGAGCGUAGUGAUAUAACCCCGCUUCGAGAAACUGGUGGGCCUCACGCCGUAAAACCCCCAACUUUCUGA
rnacentral:rRNA from 1 species